CCUACGGGGGGCAGCAGUCGAGAAUCAUUCACAAUGGGGGAAACCCUGAUGGAGCGACGCCGCGUGGGGGAAUGAAGGUCUACGGAUUGUAAACCCCUGUCAUGUGGGAGCAAAUUAAAAAGAUAGUACCACAAGAGGAAGAGACGGCUAACUCUGGGCCAGCAGCCGCGGUAAUACAGAGGGCUCAAGCGUUGUUCGGAAUCACUGGGCGUAAAGCGUGCGGAGGCUGUUUCGUAAGGCGUGUGUGAAAGGCGCGGGCUCAACCCGCGGACGGCACAUGAUACUGCGAGACUAGAGUAAUGGAGGGGGAACCGGAAUUCUCGGUGUAGCAGUGAAAUGCGUAGAUAUCGAGAGGAACACUCGUGGCGAAGGCGGGUUCCUGGACAUUAACUGACGCUGAGGCACGAAGGCCCGGGGAGCGAAAAGGAUUAGAUACCCGGGUAGUC
rnacentral:rRNA from 1 species